AUUGAACGCUGGCGGAAUGCUUUACACAUGCAAGUCGAGCGGCAGCGCGGGGCAACCUGGCGGCGAGCGGCGAACGGGUGAGUAAUGCAUCGGAACGUACCCCGUCGUGGGGAAUAACUACCCGAAAGGGUAGCUAAUACCGCAUACGACCUGAGGGUGAAAGCGGGGGACCGAAAGGCCUCGCGCGAUGGGAGCGGCCGAUGCCGGAUUAGCUAGUUGGUAGGGUAAAGGCCUACCAAGGCGACGAUCCGUAGCUGGUCUGAGAGGACGACCAGCCACACUGGAACUGAGACACGGUCCAGACUCCUACGGGAGGCAGCAGUGGGGAAUUUUGGACAAUGGGCGAAAGCCUGAUCCAGCCAUUCCGCGUGAGUGAAGAAGGCCUGG
rnacentral:rRNA from 1 species